rnacentral:rRNA from 1 species
CAGUAGCCGCGGUAAUACGUAGGGUGCAAGCGUUAAUCGGAAUUACUGGGCGUAAAGCGCGCGUAGGUGGUUCGCCAAGUUGGAUGUGAAAUCCCCGGGCUCAACCUGGGAACUGCAUCCAAAACUGGCGAGCUAGAGUAUGGUAGAGGGUGGUGGAAUUUCCUGUGUAGCGGUGAAAUGCGUAGAUAUAGGAAGGAACAUCAGUGGCGAAGGCGACCACCUGGACUGAUACUGACACUGAGGUGCGAAAGCGUGGGGAGCAAACAGGAUUAGAUACCCCCGUAGUCCCUGUCUCUUAUAC